GCUCCAAUAGCUCAGUUAGUAGAGCAUAGGACUCUUAAUCCCAGGGUCAUGGGCUCGAGCCCAGUGUUGGGUG
rnacentral:tRNA from 1 species